UGUUCUAUGGAGGAAGGCAGGAUGGGAGGGUCGUGGGCGUAGGUGUUCUGAGGAGGAAGGCAAUUGAGUAGCAUCGUGUCCUGAACUGAAUCCAAUGCAGCUGUCUAUCGUUGCACAAUUUCGUAAGUGCAUCCAUCCACAUCGUGUCCAUCUUGCAGUUCCAGGCUGAGCUGAUUUCUUGAGUGCUCUGCCCUCCCUGGAACUGCUCAAACAUGUGUACCAGGCCAGGCAUGUGGCCUGGAGCAAGACCCUAGGCCAUCGUGUCCUAUUUUUUUCAUUGAUCCAUGCGAAUAAGUCCCACAUGAACACGCCCCCAGGGAAGGCACACCGUAAAUCUAGCCAGCCAACCACAAGAUCACUGGACGACAUCAAUACAUGGAUAGAUGAACAAGAAACAAGUACUCACUCCGUACUAGUACUAGAUGAUCUCACUGAAGAAAGAAACUUGUUUUUCUCUUCAGAUAGAGAAAUAAAAUACUACUACUAAGAAGAAGCUUCAGUGCACGAGCAAGAAAAAAGUGAGGGAGCCUUUUUUUCUUGUCCUCGCUAGCUAGUGAUAUAUGUAUAUAAUAUAGAAACCCAUGCAUCAUGCACUCAAAGGCACACAUGUAUACCCAUCCUGCCUGCUGAAGAAACAAACUCUUCAUGUGUAGUGAUUUUUUUCUUCUUUCUUUCUUUCCUUCACAUUCCAGUAGUGAUUUUUUUGUCCCUGCCUGCACAAUUUGUGUCUUGAUCACGCCAUGUUUCACAAGGGAGGGGCAAGCGCAUAGAUACACAGAUAGAUUUAUCCAUGCGGUGAAUUCUUACAGCACUAAAUUCUUACAGCCAUACUGUAGUAGUACUGUUUUUUGUUCACGCGAGCUGUUGGAUUUGUAGCAGUAGCAGUGAUGAUUCAGAGUUUGAGACAAUGCCUCCACGCACUAGGAUGAGGUGAGGGUCCAAUGCCUGCACGCAUGAGUGACAUUGACGCGGCCUGCCUAGAUUAGGCAACCAGAUUGAUUAUGAUAGUACUGUAAGUAUUACUGACACAAACCUGCAUCUACCCAAGAUUCAGACAGAUUUCAUUUCUUUUUUUGUAGCAGCAUGCAGCGUGUCCUGAACCACCUGCACAAUUUUCAUUUCUUCAGUGUGUCCACCCGCAUCUGCGCAAGUUUCAGACAAAUUUCUUGAGUGCCCUACGUGUUGUGUUGCCUGAAUUCGUUUCCGUUCCAUUGCAUUCCACCACCACUCGAGAAUAAAAGCUUUAUAUUCAUGAUCCUGCUCCACCACUUGAAAUAAAAGCCUCUGUUCGAUCAAAAAAAUAAAAGCCUGUGCAGUGUUAGAUCAAAAAAAUAAAAGCCUGUGCCAUAUACAAGAAUGGCCGACAUAGAGAGAGAGAAUUCAUUUCCUCUACGAGUGGUCCUUUUUUAUCUUCAAAUGGCAGUAUGUGUAGGAUUCAAUAGGGGCUGCUAGUGGUUUAGUAUUAAUAUAUGUACAUCAAUGUUCAGAAUCGGCUAAGCAAGUGCAUAGUCUGCACCGUGAUUGGCAAUCGUGCAUGAUGCUACAAGCUUUUAGAAUAACAGCGGUUCAUGGAGUAAUAUGCUUUGGACUGCUGUUGUGCCUCCUGGGAUUCAGCUUUUUUGUGGCCUCGUAACUUGCUUCCUGGACUAGCAAUUCAGGACUACUAGCGUUUUGCUUGCGGUGUUCUCGGUUCAGGACUGUGAUUUCCAAUUGUGCACGACGCCACAAGCUUUUAGAACCAUAGUGAGUCACGCGGAAUCUUAUCUGGGCUGCUGGUGUCUCCUGGGAUUCAGACUUAGAAUGACUCAGAAAAGCAUAUCGGCAGCUGGUCAUCUAUUCUUUGUCCUCCUGAUAUAUGUUUGGAUGUUAGAUGGUUCAUGCAUAUUUCUGUCUACUUCUUCUAGAAUUAUUGUGUUACCUAGAUUCCAAAACCACUUCAACAUAGAUGGCAUUGUGAACAUGAAACUGAAUACAGAACUUACCCUCUCUGUUUUCAUUUCGUUUUGGAAAAUCACAGGUCUCUAGAAGUAGUCUGCAGGGGACCUCUAGUACUAGUGUUUUUUCUUUGCAGAUGAGCAUGUUGUUUGUUCAUCUGUGAUUCGUCCUUGAACUCCUAAAACUUCUGAUGAGAAGAAUGUUAGUAGAUGCACAUUUUAUCUGCUUCUGCUAGUUUUCAUGUGUCCGGUCUUGCCUUUUCGGAGCCUCUACAAGAGGUUUUGUUUGUAGAAAAGUAUAGUUGACUGUCCAUCUACUCCCUCCGUUCCAAAAUAGAUGACCCAGCUUUGUACUAACUUUGUAUUAAAGUUAGUAUAAAGUUGAGUCAUCUAUUUUGGAACGGAGGGAGUAUUUGUUUGUAGGAAAGUAUAUCUGACGGUCAGUUAAGCAUAGAUGCACAUUUUUCCUAUUGUUUUAGUGAUAACAUAAUAAAUAGAUGGAUUGGUUCUACAAGAGAUUUUAUCUGUAGAAAAAAGCAUAUAGGCUGCCUGUUCAUUUAUUGUUUGAACUGAAACAUCCUGAUGUCCUGAUAAGUUUGGAUGUUAGAUGGAUACAUGCUUCUAUCUGCUUCUUCUAGAAUUACUGUGUUACCAAGAUUCCAAAACUUCUUAGUGUAGCAUUGUAGCUUUAUUUUUACAUGGUCAAACUACCUUCUGUAUGCAGUAUGCAACAACACUAUGUUGUAUAUCUUCAGUAGUAAAUGUAUCAUCUUAAGAGUGUACUGAAGCUAGAUUAUUUUGUAGCUCAUUUUUUACGCUCUCUCCAUGGUUAAUAUAAAUUAUGCAAAGCAAUGUUUACUUUGAGUGUAACUCUAGUGCUAUUCUUAUUAUUCAAUGUACAUCGAUGGUGCUGCUGGACAUGUGCUAGUCAGAGGGGAGAAAGCUAAGAACCUUGGCCUUUAAGUUCUUGCAAGGAUUAGAGGGUAUGUUGGUGCUGCUCAGGGGUGAUCGACGUGGACUACCGCGACCUGGUGGGCAUCGUGUUCUUCAACCACUCGGAGGCGGACUUCAGCGUGAAGCCCGACGAUCGCGCCGCACAGAUGAUCGUCCAGGUCAUUGCGACGCCGGAGGUCGCCGAGGUGGAGGACCUCGACGCCACCGUCCGCCGCGAGGGACUGCUCGGAUCCACCGACGUUUCAACUCAGAAACUUUGUAGAUACAUCUAGGGAAGUGGUCUAGUCGUUUAUUUGCACUGGACGUGUCUUGAUUUCCAUCCAUGAUCUCGAGUUGAGAUGUUCAAUGUUGUAUCCAUGAAUGUUGCAGGUGCUAAGAUGGUUCUGUGAACUUAGUUUAUUUGCACUGGACGUGUCUUGAUUUCCA